rnacentral:rRNA from 1 species
AACGCUAGCGGCGUGCCUAACACAUGCAAGUCGAACGGAAACGCGAAGAGCUUGCUCUUUGGCGUCGAGUGGCGGACGGGUGAGUAACGCGUGGGAAUCUACCCAGUAGUGGAGGACAGCCAGGAGAAAUCCUGAUUAAUACUGCAUACGAUCUACGGAUGAAAGGUGGCCUCUACUUGUAAGCUAUCGCUAUUGGAUGAGCCCGCGUUAGAUUAGCUAGUUGGUGGGGUAAUGGCCUACCAAGGCGACGAUCUAUAGCUGGUCUGAGAGGAUGACCAGCCACAUCGGGACUGAGACACGGCCCGGACUCCUACGGGAGGCAGCAGUGGGGAAUAUUGGACAAUGGGCGCAAGCCUGAUCCAGCAAUGCCGCGUGUGUGAAGAAGGCCUUCGGGUUGUAAAGCACUUUCAAUUGUGAAGAAGAGGUUAAGAUUAAUACUCUUGACCUUUGACGUUAACUUUAGAAGAAGCACCGGCUAACUCUGUGCCAGCAGCCGCGGUAAUACAGAGGGUGCGAGCGUUAAUCGGAAUUACUGGGCGUAAAGCGCGCGUAGGCGGUUAUUUAAGUCAGAUGUGAAAUCCCCGGGCUCAACCUGGGAACUGCACCUGAUACUGGGUAACUAGAGUUUAGGAGAGGGAAGUAGAAUUUCAGGUGUAGCGGUGAAAUGCAUAGAUAUCUGAAGGAAUACCAGUGGCGAAGGCGACUUCCUGGCCUAAAACUGACGCUGAGGUGCGAAAGCGUGGGUAGCAAACGGGAUUAGAUACCCCGGUAGUCCACGCCGUAAACGAUGUCAACUAGUCGUCGGGUCCCUUGAGGGUUCGGUGACGCAGCUAACGCAUUA